CAGAAGAUCCUGGAAGAACUGAAGAAGUCUGAAAUCAAAGAUUGUGUUCCAUGUGCUGAAGAGUUGAUCAAGAAAAGUCCAAUCCUCCACAGUGAUGUUGUGUUUACCUUCAAAGAAACCAAGAACAGUGAGAUUCUCCUGUGUCGUUACUGGUGAGACUUUCGGUGCUCAUGAUGCCAUAGUGGAAAAAGUGAAGAAGAAAACAAAACUGACUGAAACAACCCUGCAGAAAUGUGACAUCAUCAUUGUCUUCUGUCCAAUCAUAACCCGUAUUGGCUCAGAUGUGAAAGCAGUCAAGAGACAUGCAGCAGUGUCAUCGACUAAUAAACCAAUUAUUGUGGUGCUCAUGCAUCACAUCAGAGAUGAGGAGUAUGCAGUAGGAGAGUAUGCAAGUGGAAGAAGAAAAUUGUUUGAAGAUUCAAGGUUUGUGUUGGAGGCUCAUGUUCUCUACCAUGAGACUCAGAGAGGAUUAAUCAAAUGUGCACAAAAUAAACAGGCUGUCAGUAAAAUACAACAUGAGUUAAAAACACAGUUACGCAAUCGCCGCAAAUAGUGAGACACUGUGUCAGCACAGGGUUUUAGAUUUCACUUAACAGGAAACAAAAUGAUCAGAUGAUUUGUUAUUAUACCAAACUGUGAUAAUGUAAACAAUAUUUUUCUGAAUCAUUAGAAUGAUGGCUGACCAGUGUAAUGCUCAUGUCUUUGGCACCUGACUUAUCCUGUAAUAAGUUUAAAUUUACUCAGUGUGGGAUCACUAACGAAGACAUUAACUGAAGUGGAAGAAUGUCCUGUUUUAUAAAUGGAUCUUCUGGCUUAUCGUCUUCAUCAUCAUGACCAAAUCACUGCACAUCCUGCUUUUACAGAGCAUUCAUUUUUAUAGAAUUGGACUUUAUGUGUGGAACAUCUUGAUUGGAUGUGAUCCACUCUCAGAGCAGCAUUCAUAUUAUCAGUCCACUCUGCAGACCCAUAUAAAGUGAGUAUUCAGCACAGCAGCCAUACAUGUCAUUCAGUGAGCAUGUGUAAUCAUCUCUUUAAUUGUUUUUUUAAUGUCUGAAUUAAUUUAGUUGUUGUAUACAUCUUAAUGAAUCAUUUUAAAAAACUACUGAGAAAUACAGGUGUACUUCUGAAUUGUAGUCAUAGCUCUGUAGUGCCUCACAGAGACAGAAGACAGAACUGUUUGAUAUUAAAUAUGUUCAAUAUAUCCG
rnacentral:lncRNA from 1 species